rnacentral:rRNA from 1 species
AUGGUGGUCGCGCUCGGCCCCGGCAGGUUCUACGGCGGCGGCCUCCCGCGCCCGCGCGUCUUCCCCGGCGACCGCGUCGACCCGCCGGCGCCCGUCACCGACGCGCUCCUCUGCUGGGCGCGCGACGCGCACUGGUCCAUGGGCGGGCUCGGCGCCAAGCGCCUCCGCCUGCAGGGCCGCAUCGAGGGCAACCUCGUCAAGCUCCGCCGCACCGCGCGCCGCGACGCUUGGGUCUCCGCCAAGUCCGCCAAGUCCAAGGUCCGCGCUGCGGGGCACGGGCCUGCCCCUGCCACCCUCGACGACGCGCUCGGCUCCGACGACGACGACUCCGAGGACGAGGCGGAGGUCGCGGCCCAGGAGAAGGCGAUGCGGCGCGAGGUGGUGGAUUACGACGAGGACUCCGAGUCCGGUGAGUCCGAGGGCGAGGGGGUGCCGCUCGUCACCAUCGCCGCCGCCGCCAAGAGGAAGCGCGUCAGGAAGCUCUCCGACGAGUUCGACCGCAUAGCCGCCGCGCAGCUGGAGGGCGGCGCGAAGAAGAAGCCGCUGAGGAAGAAGGCUGCUGCUCCUGCUCCGGCCGCUGAGGCACCGGCGAAGAAGUCGCUGAAGAGGAAGGCGGUGGCGCCGGCGGCUGGGGCUGCGGCGAGGACCUCACCGAAGAGGAAGGCUGCUGAGGCGCCGGCGGCAAGGAGGACCUCGCCGAGGUCGAAGCACUGA